rnacentral:rRNA from 1 species
UUAGGUGCCUAUAUCGGUGGUGUCCACCUCUUCCCAUUCCGAACAGAGAAGUUAAGCCCACCAGAGCCGAUGGUACUGCGGUAACACGUGGGAGAGUAGGUCGGUGCCAAAUCUUAAAGAGACCCUGUAGUGAAAACU